UCAUUCAGCCAACCAUCCCCACAGACUUAAGUAACCCUUGACAAGCCUUCAAACAAUUAAUGAUAUGCAUUUGGCCCUUACCGGCUCAUGCAUCACCCAACAUCCUUUUUGCUUAUUAGCUUAUGAUACCAGGUCCAGCUACUGGACUAAUGAUGCCCAUAAAAUCCUAAGUCAAUCAACCAACCACCCCACAUGACUCAGAACUGAUGAGAGCCCACACUUACCUAACUAGCCAUGGAACCAUGUCCCAAUGGAGCCGUUCAGUCUUACUCUUACAACCGAUGCAUCCUUUGAUCAGUCAGACCAGACACCUUGAUCCAUCAUCUAUGGAUCAUGUCGUCCAUCCUUACCCAUGAUCAGAUCACACACGGCCUCCCUUGAAUAAUCACACCUAGGCUCAAUACUUAUGGUCUGCGUCACAUGGUACUAGCCAUAAGCUUCUUCAUGGCUUGCUGCUUGUUCCAAACGAAUUGGACCUUACACUCUCCAUGGUUCCUCUUAUACUAGGACCCCAUGUGGUUCCUCCAUUAUCCGGAUAAAUGAUUCACGCCAUGAUCAAAC
rnacentral:lncRNA from 1 species